rnacentral:rRNA from 1 species
GGCGGACGGCUCAAUAACACGUGGAUAAUCUUCCCUCGGGACGGGGAUAACCCCGGGAAACUGGGGAUAAUACCCGAUAGGUGAGAAGGUCUGGAAAGAUAUCUCGCCCAAAUCCUCCGGGGCCCGAGGAUGAGUCUGCGGCCGAUUAGGUUGUUGGCGGUGUAACGGACCACCAAGCCGAAGAUCGGUACGGGCGUUGAGAGACGGAGCCCGGAGAUGGGGGCUGAGAUACGGCCCCAGGCCCUACGGGGCGCAGCAGGCGCGAAAACUCCGCAAUUCACGAAAGUGUGACGGGGGAACUCCAAGUGCUGCAGCGUUAGCUGUAGCUUUUGUGUAGUGUAAAUAGCUACUCGAAUAAGGGCUGGGUAAGACCGGUGCCAGCCGCCGCGGUAACACCGGCAGCUCGAGUGGUGACCGCUAUUAUUGGGCCUAAAGCGUUCGUAGCCGGUUCGGUAAGUCUUUGGGUAAAUCCUGACGCUCAACGUUAGGAAUUCUAGAGAUACUGCCGGACUUGGGACCGAGAGAAGUCAGAGGUACUCCUGGGGUAGCGGUGAAAUGCUGUAAUCCUAGGGGGACCACCAGUGGCGAAGGCGUCUGACUAGAGCGGGUCCGACGGUGAGGGACGAAAGCCAGGGGCGCGAACGGGAUUAGAUACCCCGGUAGUCCUGGCCGUAAACGCUGUGGGCUAGGUGUUGCACGCUCUACGGGGGCGUGCAGUGCCGAAGAGAAGUUGUUAAGCCUACCGCCUGGGAAGUACCGUCGCAAGUCGGAAACUUAAAGG